AAGUCGUAACAAGGUUUCCGUAGGUGAACCUGCGGAAGGAUCAUUAACAUUGAAUGAUUGGUGGGUGGGGUGUGGAGUUUCCUUUGGAAGCAAAGCACUCACCCUUCCACCCCAUUGUGUGCAUGUCGUGAGUGAGUGAGUGGGUCUUCGUGACUCAGUCUCUCCUUUUCUCUCACUUCUUACUACCAAAACCCCUCUUUCUACUUCUAGACUGAUUACAACCCGUUUUCUCUCUCUAGCAGAGAAAACACACCAAUAGCAAUACAACUCUUAGCAACGGAUAUCUAGGCUCUC
rnacentral:misc_RNA from 1 species